rnacentral:tRNA from 1 species
GCCUAACUGGCUCAGUCAUAAAGCAUGUGACUCUUGAUCACGGGGUCCUGAGUUCAAGCCCCAUGUUGGGUG